UACGUAGGGGGCUAGCGUUGUCCGGAAUCAUUGGGCGUAAAGCGCGUGUAGGCGGUCCGGUAAGUCCGCUGUGAAAGUCGGGGGCUCAACCCUCGAAUGCCGGUGGAUACUGUCGGGCUAGAGUGCGGAAGAGGCGAGUGGAAUUCCUGGUGUAGCGGUGAAGUGCGCAGAUAUCAGGAGGAACACCUAUUGCGAAGGCAGCUCGCUGGGACGUAACUGACGCUGAGACGCGAAAGCGUGGGGAGCAAACAGG
rnacentral:rRNA from 1 species